GCCCAGGUGGCGGAAUUGGUAGACGCACCAGAUUUAGGUUCUGGCGCCGCAAGGCGUGGGGGUUCGAGUCCCUUUCUGGGCACCA
rnacentral:tRNA from 1 species